CGCGUAGGCGGCUUGUUAAGUCUGGGGUGAAAUUUCCCGGCUCAACCGGGAGGGGUCCUCGGAUACUGGCAGGCUGGAGGGGAGCAGAGGAGAGCGGAAUUCCCGGUGUAGUGGUGAAAUGCGUAGAUAUCAGGAGGAAGGCCUGUGGCGAAGGCGGCCCUCUGGCGCUGGACUGACACUGAGGCGCGAAAGCGUGGGGAGCAAACAGGAUUAGAUACCCUGGUAGUCCACGCCCUAAACGGUGGGCACUAGGUGUAGGGCUCGUAAGGGUUCUGUGCCGAAGGGAAACCAUUAAGUGCCCCGCCUGGGGAGUACGGCCGCAAGGUUGAA
rnacentral:rRNA from 1 species